rnacentral:rRNA from 1 species
UACAGAGGGCUCAAGCGUUGUUCGGAUUCAUUGGGCGUAAAGGGCGCGUAGGCGGCUGGGUAAGUCGGGUGUGAAAUCUCAGGGCUCAACCCUGAAACUGCACUCGAUACUGCUCUGCUUGAGGACUGGAGAGGAGACUGGAAUUCACGGUGUAGCAGUGAAAUGCGUAGAGAUCGUGAGGAAGACCAGUGGCGAAGGCGGGUCUCUGGACAGUUACUGACGCUGAGGCGCGAAGGCCAGGGGAGCAAACAGG